AACGAACGCUGGCGGCAGGCUUAACACAUGCAGGUCGAACGCCCCCGCAAGGGGAGUGGCAGACGGGUGAGUAACGCGUGGGAAUCUACCCAUCUCUGCGGAAUAGCUCCGGGAAACUGGAAUUAAUACCGCAUACGCCCUACGGGGGAAAGAUUUAUCGGGGAUGGAUGAGCCAGCGUUGGAUUAGCUAGUUGGUGGGGUAAAGGCCUACCAAGGCGACGAUCCAGAGCUGGUCUGAGAGGAUGAUCAGCCACAUUGGGACUGAGACACGGCCCAAACUCCUACGGGAGGCAGCAGUGGGGAAUAUUGGACAAUGGGCGCAAGCCUGAUCCAGCCAUGCCGCGUGAGUGAUGAAGGCCUUAGGGUUGUAAAGCUCUUUCACCGGUGAAGAUAAUGACGGUAGCCGGAGAAGAAGCCCCGGCUAACUUCGUGCCAGCCGCCGCCGUAA
rnacentral:rRNA from 1 species